rnacentral:lncRNA from 1 species
AUAUCAAAAUUUAAAAUUUUAAGUUUUAAUUUUAAAUUUUAAAUUUAUAUUUUAAAAUCUAAAUUUUAAAUUUAGAUUUAAGUUUAAAUUUUAAAAUUUAAAUUUAAAUUUUUAAUUUUUACAUUUCAUAGUUUUAUUUUAAAUUUCACAUUUUGCCAAAUAUGAUCAUAAGGGCAAUUAUGGAAUAAAUUACAUUUUACUGUCAGAGUUACUGAAUUUUACCAAAUGAAUCAAACAUAAUAAUUCUAUAUAUACUGUAAUCCGGCAUUAUAUUACGGCGUUAAAUUAAACGCGAUAAUCCAGUAUCAGUAGUAAUUUGAUUCAAAAAUCUCAUCUAGCUGAUUAUGUUAAAAUAAUAUGUAAUACUACAUAAUGUGAACCAGACGCGUUCUAAAAGAGUAUAAUAACCCUACUCAUAAA